UGAUAAUGGUGAGGGCAAUUUCUUAUUAUCCCCUUGAAUCUCUCCUAAUCUUGGUAGAUAUUUUCUCUUUUUUUUUCCUGAAACUCAGAAUCGCUCUUCUCAAACA